UGUUCUGUAGUAUACUUAUUACUGUAAAUUGCAAUUUUACCAAUGCCUAGGCCAGAACAU
rnacentral:tRNA from 1 species